UACGGGGGGGGCAAGCGUUGUUCGGAAUUACUGGGCGUAAAGGGUUCGUAGGUGGCCAACUAAGUCAGACGUGAAAUCCCUCAGCUUAACUGGGGAACUGCGUCUGAUACUGGUUGGCUUGAGUGCAGGAGAGGAACGCGGAAUUCCAGGUGUAGCGGUGAAAUGCGUAGAUAUCGUGAGGAAGACCAGUGGCGAAGGCGGGUCUCUGGACAGUUCCUGACGCUGAGGCGCGAAGGCCAGGGGAGCAAACGGG
rnacentral:rRNA from 1 species